rnacentral:lncRNA from 10 species
GGAAGGGAGGAAGCGUAGAAGGUGCCGAUGCACUUUUCCUCUCUCCAGCCCUCCUGACUGCUCCAAGAAUUUCAUCGAACAAGACUCAAAGAGGCCCAGCUGCUCUGCGUUUUGAUUCUUCUCCCUCUCUCAGUCCACACUGACCUGGGAGGGGCUUCUCAAACACCACAUUUCCUAGCGUGCUGUGAGAAGAGGACUGUGAGCUAAGAAGGGAGAAAAGCCAAAUAAAAAUACAGACAAACCAACCAACCAAGCACUGACGAGCCAGUAAAGAGGGAACUGUCGGGGAAUCAGGGCUGAGAGAAUCUCUGAUACAGCAGCGGAAAUAGGCACUCCCUCCUCAUCAACAAACACCUGACCUGGGUAGACCCUCUGCUUACCAAGAUCCAGUCCACCUUUUGACAUCAGCAUUCAUGCUGCCUCUUUUUACGAACCAAGCCAAAGUGGUCCCUUCCUCUGGAAAUUAUAGGAUACUUAAUGUACAUCAUAUCCAGCUUCCCGACUCCAGACUGUGGGAGAUGACACAGAGCCAGCCUGCCUGGAUGUGACUCAGCUCUGCAACUUAUUAAAGACCUUUGGCAAAUCACCUAA